rnacentral:rRNA from 1 species
AAAUCUCGUCUGAUCUCGGAAGCUAAGCAGGGUCUGGCCUGGUUAGUACUUGGAUGGAAAACCACCUGGGAAUACCAGGUAAAUGCAUUUU